CAGCCGCCGCGGGAAUACGAAGGGUGCAAGCGUUAAUCGGAAUUACUGGGCGUAAAGCGUGCGUAGGCGGUGAGUUAAGUCUGCUGUGAAAUCCCCGGGCUCAACCUGGGAAUGGCAAUGGAUACUGGCAAGCUAGAGUGUGUCAGAGGAUGGUGGAAUUCCCGGUGUAGCGGUGAAAUGCGUAGAGAUCGGGAGGAACAUCAGUGGCGAAGGCGGCCAUCUGGGACAACACUGACGCUGAGGCACGAAAGCGUGGGGAGCAAACAGGAUUAGAUACCCCCGUAGUCCCUGUCUCUUAUAC
rnacentral:rRNA from 1 species